rnacentral:rRNA from 1 species
AUGGAUCCGCUCCGGAGCUACCUGGGGCGGCUCCUCCUCGAGGACGUCACCCCGGUGGUCAUGGUGCUGACCACCCCGCUCGCCGAGGCCGCGUGCCGCAAGAGCGGCCUCAGCUUCGUCGACAUGCUCUCCCCGUUCUCCCUCUUCAAGAAAAUCGACGUGCCCGUUCGCACAGCGAGUGACCAGCCUUACAGGCUCCAGCAGUUCAAGAUUCGGAUGGUGUACGCGUCGGAUGUCCGGAAGCAGGACUGCGAGGUUGCGGAUGCGAGAAUUAAGCUGGUGGUUUCCGAGGCCAACGAGAAGGCUCUUCCGGAUUUGCUUUCAGAUCCGCCACAGUUGAAAGAUGUACUCAAUAAGCCUGAAGCUGAGUUGUGCCCAUUGUGGAUUAAGAAGUUCAACAGAGAGCUAAUACGGACACUGUCCUUUUCAGACCAUGAAACAUUUGAUCACCCUGUGGCAUGUCUUUUAGUGGUAUCGUCAAAGGACAAAGAGCCAAUUAGCAAAUUCGCUGAUCUGUUCAACGCAAAUCAGUUGCCUCCUCUUUUAAAUGAAGGCAUAAUGGAUCCCCAGAUUCUGAAGCACUAUCUUGUACUUCAUGAACAACAAGAUGGACCACAAGAGAUAGCUGUGAACAUCUUAGCGGAAAUGAGGACCACCCUUGGCUUGAAUGAUUGUAAAUUGCUGAGUAUUAACUCUUCUACACAAGCAGAUGGCAGUGAUGCUGAUAAUUCGUGGUCAACCUAUAAAGCUCAUGGCUUGCACAAUCAUGAAGGAACUUGUUUCCUUAACAUGGAUGAUUUGAACGAGAUAAAGGAUUUUAUGCAAGAUUUUGCUUCUAAUCAUAUCAUUCCCUACAUGGAGCAAAAGAUCCGUGUGCUCAAUCAGCAGGUAGCCACAACAAGAAAGGGCUUUAGAAAUCAGAUAAAGAACUUGUGGUGGAGAAAGAGAGAUGAUGUCCCAGAAGCUGCAAAUGGCCCAAUGUAUACAUUCACCUCCAUAGAGUCGCAGAUCAGAGUUCUCAGUGACUAUGCUUUCAUGUUAAGAGACUACGAGCUUGCCUUGUCCAAUUACAGAUUACUUUCGACAGAUUAUAAGCUUGAUAAAGCUUGGAAGCGUUUUGCUGGUGUUCAGGAGAUGAGUGGACUUUGCUAUUUCAUGUUAGAUCAGUCAAGGAAGGAUGCUGAAUAUUGCAUGGAAAAUGCCUUCACUACAUAUUUGAGAAUUGGAUCAUCUGGUCAGAGAAAUGCUACUAGAUGUGGCCUUUGGUGGGCAGAAAUGCUUAAAACACGAGGACAACAUAGGGAAGCAUCAACUGUUUAUUUCCGCAUAUCAAAUGAGGAACCUUCCUUGCAUUCUGCUGUGCUGCUUGAGCAAGCUGCUUGUUGCUAUUUGUUGUCAAGUCCACGUAUGCUUCGGAAGUAUGGAUUUCACCUAAUCUUAGCUGGCAAUAGUUACUACUUGUCUGAUCAGAAACAACAUGCUGUUCGGGCAUACAGAAAUGCUCUGUUUGUCUACAAACAAAAUCCUUGGAGUUACAUCAACAAUCAUGUACAUUUUAAUGUUGGGAGGUGGUAUGGAGUCCUUGGGAUAUUCGAUGUAGCUAUCAAGCACUUGCUGGAGGUUAUUGCUUGUAGCCAUCAGUCGCUGACAACGCAAAGCAUGUUCCUCAAUGAUUUUUUCCAUUUUGUUCAGAGUACAGGGGAAAAGUUUGAUGUAUACAAGCUUCAACUUCCUGUUUUCAACAUGUCAUCACUCAGAGUUGUAAAUGAAGAUCACCGCACUUACGCAUCAAAUGCAGAUGUUGAUGUUAAUGAAAGCAUUUGGCAGGAGCUGGAAGAAGAAUUGAUCCCAUCGUCAUCUGUUGUUAGAACUAACUGGCUCGACACUCAGCCAAAAUCUUCCCCUUUUAGAAAUAACAAGGCAUGUGUUUGUGUUGCUGGAGAGGCAGUAAAACUGAACGUUGAGCUGAAGAAUCCUUUACAAAUUUCCGUCAAUGUGUCUGGCAUCUCCCUUUUAUGCCAGCUUUCCACCAAUUUGAAUGCUUCAGAGACUGGUGCAUUAACAACAGCUGCCGAGGAAGAUAUAGCUAGCACAAAGCCCUCUAUUUCAACAUUUGAAAGUGAUGGAAACAAUUUUACGGUAUCGAAGCUUGACAUUGUAUUAGGAGGAGGUGAAACCAAAAGAAUACAACUUGAAGUGACUCCAAAAGUUAUAGGUAUUCUGAAGUUAGUUGGGAUAAGGUGGACUCUGUCAGAUUCAGUAGUAGGCUAUCAGUACUUCGAAGUGGCUACACAAAAGAAAAACAAGAAAGGGAAAAGAGGGGCUCGGCGUUCUUUGAACACCAACCUGAUUGUUAUCAAGGGUUUACCUAAACUUACAGGAUAUAUUGAGUGCUUGCCAACAAAAGCAUUUACUGGUGAUUUACAACUCCUCACGCUGAAUCUGAGAAACCAAUCAGAACAUGCUGUGAAGAAUAUAAAAAUGAAAAUUAGCCAUCCAAGGUUUGUAAUUCCGGGUGAUUCAUCAGAUCUUGACCUUGAAUUCCCACAGUGCUUAAGAAAGCAUGUGCAGUCAGACAGCAAUACUGUAUCCGAAGGUACUAAGGAAAAUGUCAAGGGUUCGCUAUUUGCAUUUCCUCAGGGAAUUAAAAUUCAAGGUGGCACCACAUUCUCUUGGCCUAUUUGGUUUCAUGCUGCAACUCCUGGAAACUUCUCUCUUUAUUUGUCUCUCUAUUAUGAAAUGGAGAGUACCACUGACAUUCCAUAUCGCACAUUGCGCAUGCAUUACAAUGUGGAGGUCUUGCCUUCACUUGAUGUAUCCUUUGCUAUAAGUAUGUGUUCAUCAAGAUUGCAAGAGUAUAUUGUGCGAAUGGACGUAAUCAACAAGACUCCAUCAGACUCAUUUGCACUUAAUCAGUUGUCAUGUGUCGGCACUAAAUGGGCAGUUUCAACAUUACCCUCGCGUGAUUCCAUCAGCUUUGUGGAAACAAUACCAGCAAACCAAGCUGUGUCAUGCUUCUUCAAGAUAAAGGAUUUAAGUACAAGUUCAUGUAUUGAGGCGGCAGACGGUUCCUGUGGAAGUGAUAUAGUUUUAUCUCCUGGGGUUAGUACUGAUGUAUUUGAUGUUUCUCGGACUCCUAUCACUGAUUUCCACUAUCAAGAAAGACACCAACAAGGGAAGUUAGCUAAGGUGCCACGUGGUCUACUUGAUUUUAUUCUGAUCUCAAAGGCAGUAGCUGUUAACUCUUCCAAGUCAGAACAACUGCUCUCUCAUCAUACUUGCCACUGCAGUGCUCUCAGCCAAAAUCCUGUUUGGUGGCUUAUGGAAGGACCUCGAACAAUUACUCAUGAUUUCUCGAAGUCAUGCUGUGAGGCUAACAUCCAACUGGUGAUUCACAAUUCUUCAAAACACAACACUACCGUGAGAGUGGUUACAUCUGACUGUAUGGCAGAGAAAAGCCAGACUGCCCCUUCACAUGAAUCUGCCAGUGGUCAGGGUGGAUGGCAUGACGUAUCGCUGGAAAACGACAUAAAAGCCAUCGCAAGCACGAAGGGGACACAUUCUCAGAAACAAUCAUCAGAAAGCAUUUCACCGUUUGUUUGGUGUUCAUUGAGUUCCGCUCAAGUUGAUCUGAAACCUGACAGUUCUGCUAAAAUUCCCCUAAAAGUGUGCAUAUUUGCACCCGGAACGUACAAUUUUUCAACAUAUGAGCUGCACUGGAAAGUGCAUUCAUCUGAGAGUGGACACGUGGAUGAAAAUGUGACAUCAGGUGGUGGCCAAGGGUAUCCUUUCUAUGUUAAUGUUCUUCAAGGCGCCUGA